rnacentral:rRNA from 1 species
CAGCCGCCGCGGGAAUACGAAGGGUGCAAGCGUUAAUCGGAAUUACUGGGCGUAAAGGGUGCGUAGGCGGUUGUUUAAGUCUGUUGUGAAAUCCCCGGGCUCAACCUGGGAAUGGCAAUGGAAACUGGACGGCUAGAGUGUGUCAGAGGAUGGUGGAAUUCCCGGUGUAGCGGUGAAAUGCGUAGAGAUCGGGAGGAACAUCAGUGGCGAAGGCGGCCAUCUGGGACAACACUGACGCUGAAGCACGAAAGCGUGGGGAGCAAACAGGAUUAGAUACCCCCGUAGUCCCUGUCUCUUAUAC